UACGGAGGAUCCAAGCGUUAUCCGGAUUUAUUGGGUUUAAAGGGUGCGUAGGCGGUAUUGUAAGUCAGUGGUGAAAGCCCUUCGCUUAACGAAGGAACUGCCAUUGAUACUGCAAAUCUUGAGUACAUUUGAUGAGGGCGGAAUGUGUCAUGUAGCGGUGAAAUGCUUAGAUAUGACACAGAACACCGAUUGCGAAGGCAGCUCUCAAAACUGUAACUGACGCUGAGGCACGAAAGCGUGGGUAUCAAACAGG
rnacentral:rRNA from 1 species